UACGAAGGGUGCAAGCGUUACUCGGAAUUACUGGGCGUAAAGCGUGCGUAGGUGGUGAGUUAAGUCUGUCGUGAAAGCCCCGGGCUCAACCUGGGAAUGGCGAUGGAUACUGGCUCGCUAGAGUGCGGUAGAGGAGAGUGGAAUUCCCGGUGUAGCAGCGAAAUGCGUAGAGAUCGGGAGGAACAUCAGUUGCGAAGGCGGCUCUCUGGACCAGCACUGACACUGAGGCACGAAAGCGUGGGGAGCAAACAGG
rnacentral:rRNA from 1 species